rnacentral:piRNA from 1 species
UAAGACAGUAAGAGUUUAUUGUGGGUGUUC